rnacentral:rRNA from 1 species
UACGUAGGGGGCAAGCGUUGUCCGGAAUCAUUGGGCGUAAAGCGCGUGUAGGCGGUUCGGUAAGGCUGCUGUGAAAGUCCAGGGCUCAACCCUGGGAUGCCGGUGGAUACUGUCGGGCUAGAGUGCGGAAGAGGCGAGUGGAAUUCCCGGUGUAGCGGUGAAAUGCGCAGAUAUCGGGAGGAACACCAAUUGCGAAGGCAGCUCGCUGGGACGUAACUGACGCUGAGACGCGAAAGCGUGGGGAGCAAACAGG